GAAAUCUGGUACCUUCGGUGCCCGAGUUGUAAUUUGUAGAGGGCGACUUUGGGGCGGCUCCUUGUCUAUGUUCCUUGGAACAGGACGUCAUAGAGGGUGAGAAUCCCGUGUGGCGAGGAGUGCGGUUCCGUGUAAAGCGCUCUCGAAGAGUCGAGUUGUUUGGGAAUGCAGCUCUAAGUGGGUGGUAAAUUCCAUCUAAAGCUAAAUAUUGGCGAGAGACCGAUAGCGAACAAGUACAGUGAUGGAAAGAUGAAAAGAACUUUGAAAAGAGAGUGAAAAAGUACGUGAAAUUGUUGAAAGGGAAGGGCAUUUGAUCAGACAUGGUGUUUUGCGCCCCUCGCUCCUUGUGGGUGGGGGACCCUCGCAGCUCACUGGGCCAGCAUCAGUUUUGGCGGUCGGAUAAAACCAGGGGAACGUAGCUUGCUUCGGGAAGUGUUAUAGCCCUUGGGAAUACGGCCAGCCGGGACUGAGGAACGCGAUUCGUC
rnacentral:rRNA from 1 species